rnacentral:SRP_RNA from 3 species
CCGUGCUAAGCGGGGAGGUAGCGGUGCCCUGUACCCGCAAUCCGCUCUAGCGGGGCCGAAUCCCUUCUCGAGGUUCGUUUACUGUAAGGUCUGCCUUAAGUAAGUGGCGUUGACGUCUGGGUCCUGCGCAAUGGGAAUUCAUGAACCAUGUCAGGUCCGGAAGGAAGCAGCAUUAAGUGAAACCUCUCAUGUGCCGCAGGGUUGCCUGGACUGAGCUAACUGCUUAAGUAACGCUUAGGGUAGCGAAUCGAUAGAAGGUGCACGG